CCUAUAGCAUAUCCUUAAUGCAUUGAAUCCCAUUAGAACUCCACAGUUAAGCACACUUAAGCUAGAGUAGUACUGGGAUGGGUGAUCGCUUGGGAAGUCCUAGUAUUUUACAUGC
rnacentral:rRNA from 1 species